UCUCCAUCUUCUCCUGGUGGAAGAAGAGGAGGGUGUCAUCAUACUGCUUGUUGUCUAUGGUAGGUUGGUCUGGUCUAGUCUUGUCUGACUGCUCUGGUCUGGCUGUAGACAGUUUUUAUUGGUCAAGGCUGGAAGUACUCUGUCUGACCUUUGACCGAUGUAUGUGAUUUCAGAGAUACAGGGAUACUAUGCUCUGUCCAUCGGGUUGGGAGCAACAUUGGACAUCCUAGUCUUGACAUAGUGCCUUCUAUAGCAUCUAAUGUUCCCUUUCUUACCAGUCAGUCAAUCCACUGUAUUUUGCCCGGUCUGAGCCAUCCCUAAAAGACCUCUAUGCAUGCAUGGUAUGUGCUCUGGCCAACUCUCACUUCUUUGCCAUGUGCUAAGUCAUUUAGCAGACUUUCUGUCAGCCUGACUUUAGCCAAGUCAAUGUAUUUUGUUGUUGUCACUGCAUAGUCAGGUAACCUACAUGUCUGUUGGACUGAUAUAGUUGCUUCACAAACCUUCUUUGAACCUUGCAGCUUCAGUCUUUUCUUGUCUACUGAGCAAGAUGUGCGCUCAUAGAUUUUCUUCUUAUAUUCUGGACCGAAUUGGCAUUCCAUAAUCUUCUGACCACCAGGCAUGUAUGGAACACCAUUAUAAUCAAUCUUGGGAUUGCUGCUUUUGGAGGAUUGGAUAUGUGUUCUGGAGAACGAUGUCUUGUCCAUGUAGUUAAGUUUGACACUGAAAGACAAUGAGGUCCUUAUACUAAGUUGUUGAAGUUUUCCUUUUGUACAGUUCCAACACUGUACACACUAGCAACAUAACUACUCCUUGAGAUUGUCCAUUCUGAAAGGUAAACAAAAGAGCUUAUUAUUUAAAAUCUGAUCACAAAACAUUUCAUAAAUCUUGUUGUGAAUAAUUGGUAACCGUUUCAUAAAAACAAUAAGCCCCUUGAGGCUAUGAGGUAUGGGAUACAUAUCCUGGUUAAGGGGUGUGUACAAGCACUCCACUGCGUUGUGCCAAGAACACCACUUAGCAGUAUACAUGUCACGACUUCACUGAGUGUAGAAAACAUUAGGAACCUUUCCAUGACAGACUGACCAGGUGAAAGCUAUGAUCCUUUAUUCAUGUCACUUGUUAAAUCCACUUCAAUCAGUGUAGAUGAAAGGGCGGAGACGGGAUAAGGAAGGAUUUUUAGGCCUUGAGACAUGGAUUGUGUGUGUGUGCCACUCACAAGCUGAAUGGGCAAGACAAAAGAUGUAAGUGCUUUUGAACAGGGUAUAGUAGUAGCUGUCAGGUGGACUGGUUUGAAUCAAGAACUGCAAUGCUGCUUUUUUUUCACGCUCAACGGUUUUCCAUGUUUAUCAAGAAUGGUCCACCACCCAAAGGGCAUCCAGCCAACUUGACACAACUGUGGGAAGCAUUGGAGUCAAAAUAGGCCAGCAUCCCUGUGGAAUGCUUUCGACAACUUGUAGAGUCAAUGCCCUGACGAAUUGAGGCUGUUCUGAGGGCAAAAUGGGAGGGUCCAACUCAAUAUUAGGAUGGUGUUAUUCAUGUUUUAUACACUCAGUGUAUAUCCCAUAUACCACGGCCUCGCAGGCCUUAUGACUGACUACUUUAAUCCAUGGAAAGGUGAAACAAUUUCUGUAGAGCAGCUUUUAAUCAUAAAGCCGUGUGAGAAAUCAUGUGGUAGGUUGACGUAUUACAGAAGAUACUAACCUUUUACUGGCUCACUCUGACAACUGCAAGCUCUCUUUUUCCUGCUUAAAAAGUUGAUGGACAAGGCUCUAAGAUCCCACUGCUGGUUAAAACUAGUAUGUCAUGUGCAAAUACAAGACAAAGACAGAAAAGUGAUUAUCAAUUCAAUGUAUAAAUCAGAAUAGAUAAUGUAGCGACUGUGAAUCAUAAUAUAAUACAGAAAUAUUGUUUCAUUCUGUCACGCCCUGACCUUAGAGAGCCUUUUUUAUUCUCUAUUUGGUUAAGUCGGGAUGGGAAAAUCUAUGUUUCUAUUUCUUUGUUGGCCGGGUAUGGUUCCCAAUCAGAGGCAGCUGUUUAUCGUUGUCUCUGAUUGGGGAUCAUACUUAAGCAACCCUUUUUCCCACCUUAAAUUGUGGGAUCUUGAUUUUGUUAGUUGCUGUACAGCCUGCAGAACUUUACGGUCGUUUUGUAUUUUGUUGUUUUGUCGGAGUUCAGUAUUAAAAAUCAUGAACACUUUCCACGCUGCGCUUUGGUCUCAUUCAUCUAACGACGGACGUAACACAUUCAUCUAUCAUUCUUGAUAAGCAGGGCCUUGUGGCAUUGGGCCAGCCUGUGAGGUGGUGGUCUUUGUGUGAUUGUCUAGGCAGAAAGCCAGAGGCAGGACGAGCCUGCAGUGGAGUUGUUGUGGGUGUUGAGUUAGUGACCGUGCCAGGCUAUUCCCGGGGACCGCAGAGUGCCGAGUAGAUAGCAGAUGAGCCGCUCUUCUCUUUCCUCGAUACAGACACUGGUAGAAGACAGCCUCAGCAACGGACACAGGAACAGUAUCUCCCCUCUCCUCCAUCUCUUGUCCCCAGAGGGAGUAAUUGUGUUCUGGCUGAUGGUAAAGGCCAUCCAGACCAUCUCCUUCCUCAACUUGUUCUUCCCGCUGGUGGUACCCCUGUCCACCUCCUGGCAGUGUGAGAUCCAUGUCUGGGCCCUUCAGAUGAACAUGAUGGUGUAUGUGGGAGGCAUUGUACGACUAGGACACAAUGACACAACCUAUUUAUUCGGUACAUUUAAUUCCCUUUAGUAUAAAAACAAUACGCAGCAUUCAAAUUGAUUGUUGCUAUAGUUUUCAGGA